UCCGUAUGGUGACCUGCGGAGGGAUCAUUACUGAGUUUACGCUCUACAACCCUUUGUGAACAUACCUACAACUGUUGCUUCGGCGGGUAGGGUCUCCGCGACCCUCCCGGCCUCCCGCCUCCGGGCGGGUCGGCGCCCGCCGGAGGAUAACCAAACUCUGAUUUAACGACGUUUCUUCUGAGUGGUACAAGCAAAUAAUCAAAACUUUUAACAACGGAUCUCUUGGUUCUGGCAUCGAUGAAGAACGCAGCGAAAUGCGAUAAGUAAUGUGAAUUGCAGAAUUCAGUGAAUCAUCGAAUCUUUGAACGCACAUUGCGCCCGCCAGCAUUCUGGCGGGCAUGCCUGUUCGAGCGUCAUUUCAACCCUCAAGCUCUGCUUGGUGUUGGGGCCCUACAGCCGAUGUAGGCCCUCAAAGGUAGUGGCGGACCCUCCCGGAGCCUCCUUUGCGUAGUAACUUUACGUCUCGCACUGGGAUCCGGAGGGACUCUUGCCGUAAAACCCCCCAAUUUUCCAAAGGUUGACCUCGGAUCAGGUAGGAAUACCCGCUGAACUUAAGCAUAUCA
rnacentral:rRNA from 1 species